UGAAAUAGAAAUAAUUAAGCGUUACAUUCAGACAGCCCAGUUUUUUUUUUCUUCGGAUGUGUGCUUGAAUCAGGUAUUACGUUGAGUCCUCACACCUAUCAUUGGUGUGUUGAUUUGUUGUCGCUGUGGAUAUUUCGGAGCUCUCGGCGGGUGGACUCAGUGUGUACUCCUAGACUGAAAAGCGUGUGCUUUAUGCCCGAGUAAAUCUAUAACUAGCCGGGAUCGUUCCGCUGUACCGUGUAGCGGUGUUAGAGAAAUGAGUUAUUUCUAAGUGACAUUUAUCAUGGUGUGUGCACUUUGACUGUUGGAUUUACCCUAUGGACCAUUUCACUCAAGGUCUCAUGCAGGUUGGAUGAUGUCAACCAUUCUUACUAAGCUUUGGGUUGGCUAGCAAGACAAUACCGCCCCAACCCCCCCUGAUCUCAAUUACAAAAAUUACAAGAGACAUUAGCCUGGAUAUACACCGGGAGGCGUCGUAGGUUCCAUUUCUCAUCUUACAACGUUAGAAACACACUUCGAUUCCGGAAUCGUUCUAGAGGAUACACGACACUUCAAAUACCAUCAGAAGUUUCCUCGGAUGCACCCAGCAGAAACUGGAAUACUUUCUUGAAAAGUUUUUUUCCUCCAAAUAUUUUAAUGACUCUAAAGAUCUAGUCCAUUGAUUCUUCAAGAUUUUGGUCGAUGGUCUAAAUUUUUUUCUCCCGGCUUCUUGCGUCAACUUCGCCAACUCUGGAAUCAUUAUCGUUUUUCAAUUUACCUCUGGUGGAGCCAGUCCGAAACCUUGGGAUCCAAGGCUCUGUCAGGCCCAGAAAUAAGAGCUUAACUGGAGACUCUUGGAAUAAGAGCGUAGCUGGAGACGCUUGGAACAAGAGCCUAACUGGAGACACUUGCACCAACGGGAAAACCCCUAAUGGUGGUUUUCCCAAUUCUUGUGUGGAUUUUAUAAACUCAAACAGUCUGGAGAUAAAACGGUUCAACAAAAUGCCUGCAAAAGAAGAAGAUCUCAGUCACUCAUCGCAUGCCAACUCUCCAAACAGCCAAAGUCCGGAUACUGCUGGCAAUGCCAACGCUGCUAAGAAACCAAAUAGAAAAAGAGGUAAGUUGGCUGCAAUUUCGAAUCUUCGUUUA
rnacentral:sRNA from 1 species